AAUAACAACUACUUCAAUAGAAGAAUAUAAUAGAAUUGAAAUUCUUUUUGUACCAACUCAAGAUGAAAUAAUCAGAGACAUUUAUUCAUUUACAAAUAAUAUAUAUUUUGUUUUGUACAAAGUAAUACACCUUAUGAAGUUCGUUAACCUUUCUCAAAUUGAUUUGAAUUACGAAUAUAUCUUAAAAAACGAAGCAAAACCAAUUGAACAAAACAAUAUUUUUAAUCUUUUGGAAAAGAAUAUACAAAAGAGAUUAGAAAGUCAGGUGUUGGAAAUUAAUGAUCAGCUUUUAAAAUAUUUUCAAAAUUAUGAAGAAAACGUCAAUGAUGUUUAUGUUUUAAAAAAGUAUUUUACGAGUUUGAGCAAUAAUAUUAGUCUACUUCAAGAAAGUAUAAUUUAUUUAGAUGACUACAAUAAUCAAUGGAAAAUAAACAAGAAAGAAGCUAUAUCAAAAAUAUCAAAUUUUAUCAAAAACUACAACAUUUAUGAUUUAGAAGACAAUUUUGUUAACAUAAAUCAGUGUUAUGAUUACUUAGAAUUUUUGGAAAUUUUUAAAUUAAGCAAUGCUGUAAAUUUGUCACAAAUUUUCAAUUUAAAAGAAGUUGGAAAAUUUGUGGAAGAAACAAAGAAUUGGUACAUCUUUUUGGAUAAUUUUUACUUUUCGUUAUCUGACAUAGAGGUACAAAAACGUCGAAACAACAAGUUUUUUAGAAUAAAAGAGUUAGAGGAUACAUGUGUAAUGAAGACGUACUCCGAAAAGUUUGACGUAGGAUUUGUUCGUUUCAGAGAAUUGUACAUGCGUGAAGUGGAGAAAGAUUUUCCAACUUACUAUACACCGAAUGAGACAUUUAUCAAUAAAGUUAAAAUUGAACGUUUUUGUAACAUAUAUUAUCGAACUGUAUUAGAUGAAUCAGAUAUGAUGUGCUCUGACAAUACAUUGCAAAUAAAAGGAGAAUUCAUUACAUUUGAUCAAAUACCCCCAAAUAAUUAUUGCGUCACUGGCAUCAAACGGUUAGAAUUAUUUGCCUUUGAUACACUCUAUAUAAACACUGAUUUAAUUCGUACUGGAGAGGAACUUGAGAUUGUUGCAAUUGCACCCAAAUGGGUUGUGUGCGGUGAGAGGAAGAUUGUAUUGGAUGGAAUAUCUGGAAAUAUUAUUCGCCCACCAAAAGCUCCUGAUAGCUAUACACCCGGUUUUGAUGGCGAAGAUGGACAACCAGGACUUCCAGGAGGGCCGGCUGGUAACUUCCUUGGUAUUGGGGCUAAACUUUAUGGAGUUAAUGAUUGUGCAAAUUAUGAAGAAGAAUUAGCAAACAAUUCACUUACUAUUAGUAUGAAUGGAGGUAAUGGUGGAAAGGGACAAGAUGGAGGAAAUGGAGCAAAGGGUAAAGAUGGAUUAACAUAUGCAUUUGAGUUUAAAGAAUCAUAUUCUGAGGUAUCGUCUUAUGGUGACAUUCCUAAAGAGAUGAAAGAUUGCAAUUUUCAGAAUAUACCCUCCAAUACAGUUUCCUGCAUAAUCGUAGAAGGUUCGAAGGGAAAUGAAAACGGAGUUGGUGGAAAUGGAGGAAAAGGUGGAUUACCAGGUACAGCAGGGAACGUACUUUUAUAUUUACCUACCAAUUUGUCUAAUAUUCAGUUAGUAGUUUAUAAUAAAAGUGGGAUACAUGGAGAAGGAGGUGUUGGAGGAUUAGGUGGAAUAGGAAGUAUGGACGGGCGAACAAUAUAUGGAAUUUACAAAAAAUGGGAACGACCUGCUGCUGGUCGUUACAAACAUAAAACAGUAUACAAUCUGAUUAAUGUUACUAAGACAGAAAUAGUUAUGCUUCCGCAGGGAAAAAGCGGUGAGUCAAACAAAAACAUGAAUGGAAUGAUAAACUUGAAAAGUCCAGCAAUGACCGAAUUCCCUUUAAGUGUAAACAAAUACAAAAAAUAUUUAAGGGAAAAAAUAUCGACUGGAAUAAAUUCUAUUGAAUUAAUGAACUUUUACAUAGUGCUAGAUGCUGGACAUUCUCCUGAAGAUAAAAUAAAAGUAACUGGUUUUGAAACAACUUUAGGAUUUGUCAAUGAAUUAGAAGGACUAGAAGAACAAUUUUUUGAACUUCAUAAUAAAAUAAACUUUUUACCGUUCUAUAAGUCUUUGUUGCGACGAGUAGAAAAUUAUGCCAAGGCUCCAUAUUAUAAGGAAAAUAACAAGGAACAUAAAAAAGUUUUAGACUAUUUAUGUGCUGCUAUUCAAAUUAAAAAAUGUAUUAUCAAAGACGAAUCUAAUAAUUAUCUAAUCAACGAUAUAAAAAAACAUUUGUCUCUUAUUUCAGAAAGUGUACAAGAAAUUUCCGCUGCUACCAAUCAGGUAAACAGAAACAAAAUAAACAAAAGAUUUAAAAACGACAUUGACAAUAAAAUCAGAGAAGCAAAUAAAAUUAUUAAAAUUAUCGAUUCUGAAGUUCAAAAAAUAAAUAAAAAAAUGGAAUCCGAAAUCAAAACUCUGACGAAUGUGACAAUUUUUCAAGAAAAGAGAGUAGAAAUAAAACUGGAAAAUGACAUAGAAAGGAAAAAAUCGGUAGAAAAGAGAUUAGUUAUGAGAGGAGUUUUUGAAGUACUAAAAGGAGUAUCUUUUUUAGCUUCCUUCUGUGGUCCUUGGGGAACUAUUAUUGGAGGAUUAUUAGAAACUGGUCAAAAUUAUGUUGAACCCCUUGUCCUAAAGUCAAUGUCAGAAGAAGAAACGAGAGACUUUAUAUUAAAGAAUUCAGUUGAUGUGUUAUCGAAAGCCAGAGGACAUAUACAAUCCAUAACUGAUAAAUUAUGGUCUUCUCAUCAAGAAGCUUUAAAGAAAAACAUAGAAAAUUUGAAGAAUAAAGAAAAAGAGUUACCUGACUUAAAAGAGACAAGGGAAAAAUUAGAAAAAAUAAAAACAAACGAUCUACUGUCUGACAAUAGUAUACUUGAUCAAACCGAGUUAGUUAUUUCUGAAAAAGAACAAAAUUUAACUAAUGCUAUUAAAUUAUUAAAUGUAGGUCAAGAUGCUUAUAAUAAAAAAAAAGAAAUCUUGGAAGUUCUAAAAAGUGUGGAAAAAGUAAACAGAAUAUACAAAUCAGGUUACAAAAUUCUUGACUCAUGUACCUUCAAUAGUCCUGAAAUAGACAAAAUUAAUGCAGAAAUAAACACUGAUAAGAGUAAAGUUAGAAAAUUAGAUGAUUUUCAAAAUGACAUUCAUCAAAGUAUUAUGCCAAUGUUAAGAAGCAUGCGAGAUGAAGUAAAUAAUAUUGAAAAUAAAUUAACAUCCAUGUCUGAAGUUGAAAUAGAUGUAACGAAAUGGCAAGUACAGGAAACAUUGACAAAUAUAAAGACAAGAUUAAACAUUAUGACAAAAGACUUUCCACAAAUUUCAGACACUUUGGGAAGUCUUGUGCAACGGUUAAUUGAUACAUUAAAUACUUUAAUAAACAUAUAUGAACGCAUAGAACAAUAUCAAGACAGAAAGGUAUUAGUGGAUUAUAUAGCUCAAAUUAAUUCACCCAGCAUAAGAAAUUUAAAUAUAGAGGAAAAUCUUAACUAUGCCAUUAGUUAUUUAAAGAUAGUGUUAGAUACUAAUGCAAUAAUAGAUCCUUACAAAAGAACAAUGAAUACUUUAAAACAAUAUGUAUUUCCCUUUGCAAAAUUUUACAUCUCUGAAUUUGGAUUGCCUUCCGAUUUAGAUAUAAAUGAUUUUAGUAACGUACAAUCAAAUGUAAUAUAUCAAAUGAAACGGGUUAUGAAGUACUUGGAAAAAAGCGAAGUAUCGAUAAUACCUUAUGUUGAUGAGCAUGUCCAUGAGGGACUAUUUUCAAUAAAGAAUGAAUUUUCUGGACCUUUUUAUACUUGGAAAAAUUCUAAUUAUAAAUUGUUAAUUAAAAAAUUUUUGUCUGGAGAAAAGAUCUUAUUGGAAGCUAAUGUACGAGAAGGACUUAAAAUAAAUGCUGUCAAAUUCAAGACAAUUGCACUAGAGUUCGAUGCAGUAAAUCCGAGGUAUCAAGAAGAUUUAGAUAAGAUAUUAAACAAAUUUUAUGUGACUAUGACACAUAUGGGUACUUCAUAUUACAGAUGUGGUGAAAAUUAUUACACAAUAUCCACCAAUAGACACACUUUCUCGUUUUCAUUACAAAAGAAAAAUGGUGAUAAUGAUCCAAUGCAAACUAAUUUAUUAUAUAAAAAACUACAACAGGGCGAUUUUAUAUUAAGUCCAUAUGCAUUAUGGGAGGUACAACUUAAAGCAAAAAAUGGGAUAGCUUUUGAAGAUUUGAAAAAGUAUAUAAACCAGGUGAAUAUUGCCUUAUCUGGCUAUGGACAAUAUGUGGAUAUGGAAACGGAUGCUUGCGACGUUGAUUUAAAUAAAUACUAUAAACUAGAGUCGAAUUACAAGUCUCUUGUAUGAUUAUGGAACUGUUGAAUAUAUUUCAACAAACAUUUUAACUCAAAAGUAAUGAGAAAAUGUAUUUCCAAUAAAAUAUGAUUAAAAUUCAAUAGAUUCCCUACAAUUUUCAUAUUGAACAUUUGUUUGUAACUAUCAUAGAUUUCGAAAUAAAAAUUGUUGAAAAAAGUGACUUAAAAAUUUAAAUAACAAUAUCUUGCAAAAUAAUCGAAAUUCUGCAAAAAUGUUUUCACAACUUAUAAUUUUUUUCAAAUUCUAUGCGUUAGGGCCGAAAAAUUUUGUUUUUCUUACACGGAGAGACAGCUAUUAGCAAAAAUUACAAAAACUUGUAGCAAAGUGCAGAAAUAAGGGGAAUUAUUUAAUAUUGUACAAAAGAAAUAGAUAAAUUUUCUACAAUGAAAUAGCAAGUUUUAAUAUUUUGUGUAAUAGUGGUAAAUAUAGGGAAAAUUGAUAAAUAAUUUCAUAUAAUUAUAUAAAGUUCAAAUUUUAUUUACAUAAAUUAUUGAAAUUGGCGCUUAUUAAUUACAAUACAUCUCGCAAUAAUGUAUAAACAUACAGUUACUAGUGUUGAAAGUGUUAUCUAUAGUAAAGUCUGAUAAUUAAGCUUAAGACACAUAGCCUUGGCGUAAAGCAGAGAUACACAUUCUAUACUCUGUGUGCCAAUAUUAUAUAGAGAAAAUACGAAACUUUUUCAUUGUCUGUACUACCAAAUUAUCUCUGCCUUGUAUUUAAGGAUUAACAAAAAUAUUUUCUUGUGCAUUUAAAAAUCUAACUAAAGGGACCAACCUUGUACUUAAAAUAUUUAUUAUUCAGGUAUCACGUGCUGACACAAAAUAGGAGCUCUUUAAUAUAUAUUAGUACAGUUUAACUAUGGUUAAAAUUUUAGUGAAAGUGGAGUGAAAGUGGAGUGAUAUUACAUAAUCGACCCCCUGAUUUGUCAUAAGUUUAAGAAAUAUAUUUACCUGGGAAGAGAUAUCCCGAGGAGACUUGUAGUGUGAAAAGAGAUGUCCGUGUGAAGUCUU